rnacentral:rRNA from 1 species
UACGGAGGAUCCAAGCGUUAUCCGGAUUUAUUGGGUUUAAAGGGUGCGCAGGCGGAAGAUUAAGUCGGCGGUGAAAUUUUGCAGCUCAACUGUAAAAGUGCCAUCGAUACUGGUUUUCUUGAGUGUGGAUGAAGUAGGCGGAAUUUGUGGUGUAGCGGUGAAAUGCAUAGAUAUCACGAGGAACUCCGAUUGCGCAGGCAGCUUACUAGGCCAUAACUGACGCUCAGGCACGAAGGCGUGGGGAUCAAACAGGAUUAGAUA